rnacentral:rRNA from 1 species
AUGAACGCUGGCGGCGUGCCUAAUCCAUGCAAGUCGCGCGAACGGACGAGAAGCUUGCUUUUCUGAUGUUAGCGGCGGACGGGUGAGUAACACGUGGAUAACCUACCUAUAAGACUGGGAUAACUUCGGGAAACCGGAGCUAAUACCGGAUAAUAUUUUGAACCGCAUGGUUCAAAAGUGAAAGACGGUCUUGCUGUCACUUAUAGAUGGAUCCGCGCUGCAUUAGCUAGUUGGUAAGGUAACGGCUUACCAAGGCAACGAUGCAUAGCCGACCUGAGAGGGUGAUCGGCCACACUGGAACUGAGACACGGUCCAGACUCCUACGGGAGGCAGCAGUAGGGAAUCUUCCGCAAUGGGCGAAAGCCUGACGGAGCAACGCCGCGUGAGUGAUGAAGGUCUUCGGAUCGUAAAACUCUGUUAUUAGGGAGGAACAUAUGUGUAAGUAACUGUGCACAUCUUGACGGUACCUAAUCAGAAAGCCACGGCUAACUACGUG